rnacentral:rRNA from 1 species
AAUAGAUACCCGGGUAGUCCACGCCGUAAACGAUGAGUGCUAAGCGUUAGAGGGUUUCCGCCCUUUAGUGCUGCAGCUAACGCAUUAAGCACUCCGCCUGGGGAGUACGGCCGCAAGGCUGAAACUCAAAGGAAUUGACGGGGGCCCGCACAAGCGGUGGAGCAUGUGGUUUAAUUCGAAGCAACGCGAAGAACCUUACCAGGUCUUGACAUCCUCUGCCAACCCUAGAGAUAGGGCGUUCCCCUUCGGGGGACUGAGUGACAGGUGGUGCAUGGUUGUCGUCAGCUCGUGUCGUGAGGUGUUGGGUUAAGUCCCGCAACGAGCGCAACCCUUGAUCUUAGUUGCCAGCAUUCAGUUGGGCACUCUAAGGUGACUGCCGGUGACAAACCGGAGGAAGGUGGGGAUGACGUCAAAUCAUCAUGCCCCUUAUGACCUGGGCUACACACGUGCUACAAUGGAUGGUACAAAGAGCUGCGAACCCGCGAGGGUAAGCGAAUCUCAUAAAGCCAUUCUCAGUUCGGA